GAUGAAGAACGCAGCGAAAUGCGAUACGUAAUGUGAAUUGCAGAAUUCAGUGAAUCAUCGAAUCUUUGAACGCACAUUGCGCCCGCUAGUAUUCUGGCGGGCAUGCCUGUCCGAGCGUCAUUUCAACCCAUCAAGCUUAGCGCUUGUGUUGGAGCCCUGCGGCCGCCGCAGCCUCCUAAAUCAGUGGCGGGCUCGCUAUCACGCUGAGUGCAGUAGUAUUCUUCUCACUCCUGUGGUGUAGCGGGUAACCAGCCGUAAACCCCCCCAUCUAUAAAGGUUGACCUCGGAUCAGGUAGGAAUACCCGCUGAACUUAAGCAUAUCAAUAAGCGGAGGA
rnacentral:misc_RNA from 1 species